rnacentral:rRNA from 1 species
GCCCUUCCGAAUUCGUCGACAACAGAGUUUGAGGGUGGCUCAGAAUGAANUCUGGCGGCGUGCCUGAUACAUGCAAGUCGANCCCGAAAGCGGCCUUCGGGCUGCGAGUAGAGCGGCGAACGGGUGAGUAACACGUGGGUAACCUGCCCUGGAGUGGGGAAUAACUUGGGGAAACCCGAGCUAAUGCCGCAUGAGCUCGCCAGACCUUCGGGGCUGGCGAGGAAAGGUGGCCAAUUCUUGAAAGCUGCCGCUCCAGGAGGGGCCCGCGUCCGAUUAGCUGGUUGGUGGGGUAACGGCCCACCAAGGCAACGAUCGGUAGCCGGCCUGAGAGGGCGAUCGGCCACACUGGAACUGAGACACGGUCCAGACCGCUACGGUGGGCAGCAAGUACGGGAUAUUGCGCAAUGGGCGAAAGCCUGACGCAGCAACGCC